rnacentral:rRNA from 1 species
UGGGGAAGUAUUGGGCAAUGGGCGCAAGCCUGACCCAGCAACGCCGCGUGAAGGAAGAAGGCCCUCGGGUUGUAAACUUCUUUGUCAGGGACGAAGCAAGUGACGGUACCUGACGAAUAAGCCACGGCUAACUACGUGCCAGCAGCCGCGGUAAUACGUAGGUGGCAAGCGUUAUCCGGAUUUACUGGGUGUAAAGGGCGUGUAGGCGGGACUGCAAGUCAGAUGUGAAAACCAUGGGCUCAACCCAUGGCCUGCAUUUGAAACUGUAGUUCUUGAGUGAUGGAGAGGCAGGCGGAAUUCCGUGUGUAGCGGUGAAAUGCGUAGAUAUACGGAGGAACACCAGUGGCGAAGGCGGCCUGCUGGACAUUAACUGACGCUGAGGCGCGAAAGCGUGGGGAGCAAACAGGAUUAGAUACC